rnacentral:rRNA from 1 species
UUAAAGGGCCGCGGUAAUUUGACCGUGCGAAGGUAGCAUAGUCAGUAGUCUUUUAAUUGAAGGCUUGAAUGAAAGGUUGGACGAGGGAUAAGCYGUCUCCUUUACGUGNUUUGAAUUUAACUUUUGAGUGAAAAGGCUCAAAUUUCUUAGGGGGACGAUAAGACCCUAUAAAACUUUAUAUAAAUUUAAUUUAACUUGUGAUUUAAGUGAAAAGUAGUUUUGUUGAGUUUAUAUUUCGUUGGGGAGAUGUAGAUAUAAUAUGUAACUGUCUAUUUAAUUUAAUAAUAAUGAUUAGUGCUUGAUCCUUCUUUGUGGAUUAAAAGUNUAAGUUACUUUAGGGAUAACAGCGUGAUUUUCUUUGAGAGUUCUCAUCGACAAGAGUAGCUGCGACCUCGAUGUUGAAUUAAAAUUUCAGUUAGGUG